GCCGAGAUGGCGGAAUGGCAGACGCGCUAGGUUGAGGGCCUAGUGAACAGUAAUGUUCGUGUGGGUUCAAGUCCCACUCUCGGCACCA
rnacentral:tRNA from 1 species